rnacentral:snRNA from 1 species
CAAAGUGAGGGUGAUCUGGCUGCAACAUUGGUCACCCCAUCAAUUGCCAGGGUUGAUUCAGCUGAUCUGGCUGGCUAGGUGGGUGUUCCCUUCCUCCCUCCCCACUCCAUGUGUGUCCCUCCCAAAGCUGCACGCUCAGUCAAAGAGGACGGCCAUCCUCGAUACAGGAGGACCAGUUUUCAGUCAAGGGUAUAUGAGUAGCUACGCCCUCCUGCUAGAAUCUCCAAACAAGCUCUCAAGAGUGGAAGAGACAUGAGCAAAUUUGUGCAAGAAAGACAGCACAUGGAGGAACAGUGGUUGGACU